rnacentral:rRNA from 1 species
UACGUAGGGUGCUAGCGUUGUUCGGAAUCAUUGGGCGUAAAGCGCGUGUAGGUGGUUAUGUAUGUCGGAUGUGAAAUCCCUGGGCUCAACCGAGGAAGUGCAUUCGAAACUGCAUAGCUAGAGGACGGUAGAGGAAGGUGGAAUUCCUAGUGUAGAGGUGAAAUUCGUAGAUAUUAGGAGGAAUACCGGCGGCGAAGGCGGCCUUCUGGGCCGGUCCUGACACUGAGACGCGAAAGCGUGGGUAGCAAACAGG